rnacentral:rRNA from 1 species
GAUGAACGCUAGCGGCAGGCCUAAUACAUGCAAGUCGAGGGGUAUGGGUUGCUUGCAACCCAGAGACUGGCGCACGGGUGCGUAACGCGUAUGCAAUCUACCUUAAUCAGGGGGAUAGCCCGGAGAAAUCCGGAUUAACACCGCAUAACAUUGAGUUGUGGCAUCACAGUUCAAUCAAAUAUUUAUAGGAUUAAGAUGAGCAUGCGUGACAUUAGUUAGUUGGUGAGGUAACGGCUCACCAAGACCACGAUGUCUAGGGGAUCUGAGAGGAUGACCCCCCACACUGGUACUGAGACACGGACCAGACUCCUACGGGAGGCAGCAGUAAGGAAUAUUGGUCAAUGGGCGCAAGCCUGAACCAGCCAUGCCGCGUGCAGGAAGACGGCCCUAUGGGUUGUAAACUGCUUUUGUACCGGAAUAAACCUUCUCUUGCGAGAGAAGCUGAACGUACGGUAAGAAUAAGGAUCGGCUAACUCCGUG